UGGCCCGUGGUGUAACUGGCAACACGCUUGACUCUGGAUCAAGAGAUUCCUGGUUCGAAUCCAGGCGGGCCAACCA
rnacentral:tRNA from 1 species